rnacentral:lncRNA from 1 species
CCGUGGCUAAGGCUUAGGUUCUGACUCUAUCCUGAUAUUCUGUGAUUAUGCCUUCUCAGAUAGAGAAGGGUAACUCAUGUGUGGGAAUGGCAGGAGGUCCUUUAGCCUCAGAGUAUUUCUAUACCGAGGUGGUUCCACUGGACUAACCUCGGGUGGCGGUCUGUUGAGUGUAUCCCAGCUAGGUCCACCCGGGUGCAGAGAGCGGUGAGAAUACAUGGUC